rnacentral:rRNA from 1 species
GAUGAACGCUGGCGGCGUGCUUAACACAUGCAAGUCGAACGGAAAGGCUCCUGCUUGCAGGGGUACUCGAGUGGCGAACGGGUGAGUAACACGUGGGUGAUCUGCCCUGCACUUCGGGAUAAGCCUGGGAAACUGGGUCUAAUACCGGAUAGGACGAUGGUUUGGAUGCCAUUGUGGAAAGUUUUUUCGGUGUGGGAUGAGCUCGCGGCCUAUCAGCUUGUUGGUGGGGUAAUGGCCUACCAAGGCGUCGACGGGUAGCCGGCCUGAGAGGGUGUACGGCCACAUUGGGACUGAGAUACGGCCCAGACUCCUACGGGAGGCAGCAGUGGGGAAUAUUGCACAAUGGGCGCAAGCCUGAUGCAGCGACGCCGCGUGGGGGAUGACGGCCUUCGGGUUGUAAACUCCUUUCGCUAGGGACGAAGCGGAAGUGACGGUACCUGGAGAAGAAGCACCAGCUAACUACGUG